CUUAAUUAUGUCAACUUCAUUUGAACAUUCUCAAGAUUAUCUACAGGGAUACUUUCAUGCCAAGCUGCAAUGUCAAAGCAUAUAUAUUGACGGUGUACAGAGAUUCAAGCGCAGCACCCUAAAAGGAACUUUAGACGUAUACCUCAAGUAUGACGCUUUUAUAAUCUCAUCGUUAGAAACUCCAACAAAGCAAACACCAAAUGAACUCGAGCCACGCAUGGACAGCAGACUAUAAAAUCUUGAGCUUCUCCAGUUACGCAAUUCCGUAGGAACAGUCCUUGCCUCUAUAUUAGCACUGACUUGGUAUCCAACUUGAUUUGUGUUACCAUAAAGUGAGACCUGGGAACAAAAAAUUCAGGAUGUCUUGGUGUAUGAACAAAUGAGAUAUUACCUCCUUUCUCAAUUAGCGUACUGAUCAGCUGAUCAAGGGAAAAGCAACAGUAACAAAGAUACAGUCUCUAGCCAGAUGGUGGAUGAGGUGUUAUCUUAUGAGAAACUAGCACUGGCUCAUUGCUUGCAGCUUUCACUCCAGCAAGCUCCUCUAACCGUUUCCAAGUAAUUUCACGUUUCCUCUUUACCUCCUCUUCUUGGGCCUCGUCUUCUUCGAAUUUCUGCAAACACUCUUCAAAGAGUUCAGAAUCGAUAUCAGAGAAGAUCUUGCGGACAUUUAAUGUCAAGUUUUGCACCGCCUGAUUCCAGUGGCCUCUAGCAUUCUUCUCCAAGGAAGGGAAGAUUAUCGGCAGUAUAACUCUAUGAUUUUGUUUGAUUAGGUUCUCAACAUGAUCAUUGUUCCAUAGGAACAAGGCCCUCUCAGCCACCUGAAAGUGCGAGCUGCUCAAACAACGACUGAUCUGAUGAAACAAAGGCACCAUACAACGCUGGAAUUCUGGAGGCUGAGUUGCUUCUAGAACCUCCUCCAGCUCACCUAAGAACACUACUUCCUUGGAACUGUUGUGAUA
rnacentral:misc_RNA from 1 species